rnacentral:rRNA from 1 species
GAAAGCCUGACGGAGCAAGACCGCGUGAGGGAGGAAGGCUCUUGGGUUGUAAACCUCUUUUCUUGGGGAAUAAAAAAAUGAAGGUACCCAAGGAAUCAGCAUCGGCUAACUCCGUGCCAGCAGCCGCGGUAAUACGGAGGAUGCAAGCGUUAUCCGGAAUUAUUGGGCGUAAAGCGUCCGCAGGUGGCACUUCAAGUCUGCUGUCAAAGACCGGGGCUUAACCCUGGAAAGGCAGUGGAAACUGAAGCGCUAGAGUGUCGUAGGGGUAGAGGGAAUUCCUGGUGUAGCGGUGAAAUGCGUAGAGAUCAGGAAGAACAUCGGUGGCGAAA